UUUUGAAUCUGAGAGACAGAGGUUGCAGUGAGCCGAGAUCAUGCCACUUCACUCCAGCCUGGGCAACAAAGCUGGACUCUGCCUCAGGAAAAAAAAAAAGAAAGAAAGAAAGAAAAGAGAAGUACUUCUUUACCAUAAAGAAUAUACAGAGACCUGAAGGAGUCAAAUUCAGGCAAAUAUCUGGGAAUCAGGGACUACACGGAAUCAGAUCAAACUGGAGCUGUGUGUAGAAGACAUGUGAGCAGUGAGGACUGCAGAAGCUAUGCAAGAACUAGAGACAGAAAGUUCUGAAACUAUCUUCGCCUUAGGAACAGACUUUCUCUUCUAGCUGUAGCAAAAACCAGUAAUGGUUUCCCAGGCAACAUCCAGUCUGGCAUAACCUGGAAGUUCAUGUGUUUCUGCAGUGCAGUAUCAUCUCUUGAUGGGCAAAUUUUGACAUAAUUUUCCAGACUUUUAACCAAUCAAGGAAUGGAAGCUUUGAAUGUUCUACUGAGUAUCAACUCCCUGUCGUUGCAAAUAUUAACCCUUCUGUUAUGUGCAAAGAGCUCUUAAUGAAUUCUCAUUAUCUUAGUAGCACAUUAGAAUCAGGUUCUCAAAGCCUGAAUGCUUCAUAAGUAUCCUCUAGGUGAUAUUUAUAUUUUAUUUGUGGUGCUUACAAUGAAUAUAGAUAAUUGUAUAUUUGUAACAUCAAUAUACUAACUAAUGUGAUACUUGAUCUAAAUGGCUUUAAAUAUUU